UGCUUCCCAUCCCCUCCGCAGCCGGAGAGCCCAGGAGUAGCUGCUGGAAUCUGCACCAUCCAGGUCAGAUGGAAAAUAGAAGGCGGGAAAAUCUGACAGUCUCAUUGAUUUGCUCUCUUUGCCAUCGCCACUCUUGAGAGGAAGAAAUGUGACUUCAAAAUUGCAAUUAGGAACCAGCCUGCUAAGGAGUCCUCUCAUGAGCUCCUGUGCUGUGCGGAGCACAGGCCCAUCUCAUCUCAUUUCCUAAGGAGGUCAGCAGUUCUAGAAGAAUCUUUCUGGACAAAAGACCUGGAGUUGGCACUUUUGGCUGCCACUCAACAUUGCAUGGCCUCUACUGUGACCCAUCUUGGGACAAAAAAAUAAACUAAGGAGACGCAACACCUGUUGUUAGCUGAACCUGCUGACCAGGCUCCGUCUCCUCAAAGUUUCGGGAGAGCAGAGACGAUGGUAUAAGCAGAACUUCUUGCUCUUGGAUCAGCUCCUAGGUUUGUUCUAGUGCCUGGAGAGAACAGGUUGCAAUAUCUCCAACUGCAAAGCAGGUGCGUGGAGCCACAGUUUU
rnacentral:antisense_RNA from 1 species